rnacentral:rRNA from 1 species
GUGCUAAUACCGGAUAAGCCCUUACGGGGAAAGAUUUAUCGCCGAAAGAUCGGCCCGCGUCUGAUUAGCUAGUUGGUAGGGUAAUGGCCUACCAAGGCGACGAUCAGUAGCUGGUCUGAGAGGAUGAUCCGCCACACUGGGACUGAGACACGGCCCAGACUCCUACGGGAGGCAGCAGUGGGGAAUUUUGGACAAUGGGCGAAAGCCUGAUCCAGCCAUGCCGCGUGUCUGAAGAAGGCCUUCGGGUUGUAAAGGACUUUUGUCAGGGAGCAAAACUUAGAGGUUAAUAACCUUUGAGGUUGGGAGUACCUGAAGAAUAAGCACCGGCUAACUACGUG